rnacentral:rRNA from 1 species
AGUGAACGCUGGCGGCAGGCCUAACACAUGCAAGUCGAGCGGCAGCGCGUCCGACCACCCUCGGGUGGUCGGAUGGCGGCGAGCGGCGGACGGGUGAGGAAUGCAUCGGAAUCUGCCUCGUUGUGGGGGAUAACGUAGGGAAACUUACGCUAAUACCGCAUACGACCUACGGGUGAAAGUGGGGGACCUUCGGGCCGUCACGCGAUGAGAUGAGCCGAUGCCGGAUUAGCUAGUUGGCGGGGUAAAGGCCCACCAAGGCGACGAUCCGUAGCUGGUCUGAGAGGAUGAUCAGCCACACUGGAACUGAGACACGGUCCAGACUCCGUACGGGAGGCAGCAGUGGGGAAUAUUGGACAAUGGGGGCAACCCUGAUCCAGCCAUGCCGCGUGUGUGAAGAAGGCCUU